GCUCACAAGAAUCUCGCCUUGGAGUUAUCUCCCCCUCCCCGCUCUUUAUGGCUCUGCAGAAAGGGAUUCAGCGAUAGAGCCCUGCUGGGUAUGUAACAAGCUCGCUCUGUUUGACAGUUGCAAAUAUUUUUCUCCAACAUUGCACAGGUCCGUGUGCUGCUCGGGCUGCUCUCGCCAGCAUUUCCACCACCCAGCACUGGGAAGCUCGAAUUGGUGUGGGGCAGAUGGAAACCGAAAUCUUGCCAAGCACUGCAUCCACUCCCUGACUUAUCCCUUGCUCACGACUCCCCUAAGCUCUCCUCCAGGUAAUACAAAUCCUGCCCUUCUGCAAUGCUCUCCAGUCCAAUGCUGGGUUUUUUGAAGGGGUUGUGUGCUCCACUUCCAGCAGGAGUCCAGCACUUCUCUCCUUGCAGAAAUCCCCUUUUAAAGCACAUCAUCAGUACUCUUCUGCAGCUGUUUUUCUUAGUAGUCUAAAUAAAGCUUUCAAGUUACGACUCCUUGAUGUGAAGCCAGA